CUGGGUGGCUCUGUCUCAUUUCUAAAGAGGGAUCCAUUACUCCUGAGCAGCUCAGGAGCACCAUUGACUUUCUACAGCCCUCCCUCCAGGGCACAGGGGGAACAUCCAAAUUAAAGAAACCUUUACUGAGCACCUACUAAGUACGAGGAUCCAUUUUUGGACCAGUCAUAGUUCCUGCUUCCAAACGGAGAGACAGAGAAUUAUUAAACCCGAUUAUCUCCAAAGCAUCUGCCAGCUUGGAUAUUCUAUGAAACAAGUGAAAUCACGAAAGAUGUGAAGCAUGUUAGAGGAAUGAGCAAAGGUCACAGAACACUCUGCCGCGGAGGUAAGCUGCGACCGCCUAGCCUUCUGGGAGUGUGCGAAGCCCGUAAACCACACGGAUCCAGACUGGGAGCAAGAUGUUGUGUCUGAACACCCUCGGGACAGAGAACCAGAAUCUCUGCUGAGUUCCUGUCACCACCCCCGCCCCCUGCUUUUACCUGUGUUACCCAAACUCUCCGGGAUGGCAACACCUACCUCACAUAUUACUGUGAUGAUUAAAUGUGAAAACACAUAUGAAAGGUCUUUGUAAACUCUGAAGUGCUUUAUACAUGGAAAAUAGAAUUAAUAUUCAUGAAGGAGGAAGAAAUAGAAGGGCACCUUAAAGGAUAGAUAGGCACUACCUAAGUGAACAGCUGGGUGUCAGACACUAAAGUACAUACUUCAUAAAAAUCAAUUGUUUAGCCCUCCUGACAUGAGAUAGGGGUUAUUAUUUUUCCCAUUCUACAGAUAAAAAAACUGGGUCCCUGGGAGUUUAAGUAACUCACCUGGGAUUAUCCUGACAGUAAGUGGCAAAGCUAGGGCUCACACCAGAGGAGGCGGGCUGCACUUAACCAAUGUGUCCUUCUGCCACACUGCAUGGAAAAACGUUUUCUAAUCCAAGUUAAUUCCAGCCAGUAAACUUGACCUGAGAGCCAGGCUGGGCCCUGGGCACAUGCUGAUGAAGACACAGGAGUGUAAGCCAAUAAGGAGAGACUCUAAGGAAGAAGGAAAUAGAUACCACAAAUAUGACUGGCAUUGGAAUAAUGUAAACAAAAUGUGGAGAUGGAAAAGAGGAGGAGUGUUCCAGAGGCUCUGCAUUUAACAGACUAAGGAACUAGGUAGUGGAUGAAGAGAAGUUCAAGAGUCACAUGAAAGCAGGUUGGCUGACGGACUCACUCGGGGAAACAACACUACCCUGAGGCUGCAUCUAAAGGGUAUCAAAGUGCUUUCACACCAGCAAGCCCCAAGAAGCAAUGAAGUGUUCUCCCUGACUGUCCCGGCAAUCUGUGAAUUUGUUAUUCCGCCUGCCACUCAAGUACCAGAGAGGUCAAGAAGAGGUAUUUUAAAUAAGUCACUUAAGAAGAAAUGCAUAUUAGAGUUUAUACUUUCUCCUUGUCCCUUUAUACCUCAAAUACAGCUGUAGGGGACGGGGCAGGCAAACUGAGGCAGAAACCCAGGAUGAUGCAAGGGGGCUCACAUCUUCUAGAAGCAACCAUUUCAAGCUUGACCCUUUAGACCUUGAAUCAGCAGUUUCCAGACUUUCUGCAGACCUACAUCAGCCAGAGAUAUAAUCACUAAGAUGGCCUUUUGCUUCCAUCUGAUCAGCACAUUAAAAAAAAGAAAAAUAAACACAACAACUUGUUUGAGGACAAGGAGAACAACACUGGCUCAAAUGAGAAAUCAUUGAGAAACAAGGAUGCCGGGGGGCACAGGGGUGAAAAAUUUGGCUUAGGGUCAGAAGAUCCAAGUUUACAAAGUUUGUGACCUCUGACAGGCCACUGAAGCUCUCCAAACCUCACUUUUCUCAUUUGUAAAGUGUGAACACUAAUUACAAAAUAAGAACACAUGUUUGAAAGCACUCACCUUAUAAAUGGCGAGGGCUAGGCAAAGGUUCAUAGCUGUGACUAUAUCUAAGCUUUUAAAUAGUAAUGAUUAAUUUGUGUUAGAAGUGAAAUUUCAGACUUCAUGAUAGGAUCAGCAUUAAUCUUCCAAAUUUUCCCAUCUGCAAAGCAUUUAAUGGAACAUGCAAGUCCACAUGAUUGAUUUAUUCCCAUGCCACUUCCAAAAAGUAUUUAAAGUAACUUAUGAGAUAUAGAGAUGAUGGUUUCAUCAAAACAUGGGACAAAAGGUAAAGAUGUGGUCAUGAAAGGAGAGGACAGUGAGGGGGAAGAAAACUCAGAAGCAGAAUAAAUUUAAUGAGGCAUAUAGCAUGACUUUGAGCUUCCCAGCAGCUGAGACAAAAAGGGAAAUGCAUUGUGUCACACAGUCCUAGUAAAGGGAGUAAUAAAGGGAGAAUAGGUAUGGUUGGAGGGUGGUCAUGGAGGCCAGGAUCGCAAACUUCCUGGCCCUGACCUCUACGUGCAUCAUAGGCAUCAUUAUUUAAGGGAUAUCAAAAAAUAAAUUGUGCAGGAUCUCCAAAUGGCAAUGCAGCAGAGAUACUGUUCCAGUCUAACCACUAGGCGAUAUUUUCCUCUGAAUCAGUGCUUGCCUCCCAGAACAAACAAACAGCAAGAUGAUUAAUAGAAGGAGCUGGUUGCCUUUAAAAAAAAUAGGGCAGUGAAAAUCAGAAUAUUUGCUCCUGGCUGGGGUGUGCCACUGGCCCAGGUACCCACAGAGGCAGUCACCAUUCAUUAGGGGAGUCAAGUAGGCAAGGCAAUCUGCAAGGUGCCUUGCACAAGGUCACUCGGUGUCUCUGAGACUGACUCUGCAUUCUGAGUUCCUUAAUAUGAUUUUUUAGGUCACAGUGUUCUAGGCAAAGCUCCCUGUUGAUGUACAUCUCUCAUGCAAGAUUUAGAUCACCUCUUUUCGGGCAGAGCUCCAUGGAAACACCGCCCAUGAUUUCUGAAAUGGAGUCUGAUUGGGUCCCGGUAAUGCCCAGCUGGAGUGGAGAGUGCUCUCUGCAGUUGACACAUUGCUGGACAGUUGGCAAGCCUGAGACUACCAGAAUCUAGUCCUUGGAGGCUAUUAUUAUUUUAAUUCCAUAGUAAAUUCCUGUUUACCUAAG